AUAGGAAAUUAAGAGGCAUCUUUUAAUUUUUAAAAGACCUUUUUCGAAAGGUAUACUUAAAGAGGGGCUUGCGCCACAUUAGUUAGUUGGUAAGGUAAAGGCUUACCAAGACGAUGAUGUGUAGCUGGACUGAGAGGUCGAACAGCCACAUUGGGACUGAGACACGGCCCAAACUCCUACGGGAGGCAGCAGUAAGGAAUUUUUGGCAAUGGAGGAAACUCUGACCGAGCGACGUCGCGUGACAAUGAAGUACUUCGGUAUGUAAAGUUCUUUUAUUGAAAAAGAAAAAAUAAUGGAAAAACUAUCUUGACAUUAUUCAAUGAAUAAGCCCCGGCUAAUUAUGUGCCAGCAGCCGCGGUAAUACAUAAGGGGCGAGCGUUAUCCGGAAUUAUUGGGCGUAAAGGGUGCGUAGGCGGUUUGAUAAGUCUAUAGUUUAAAUGCAGUGCUUAACGCUGUAGCGCUAUAGAAACUGUCUGACUAGAGUUAGAUAGAGGCAAGCGGAAUUCCAUGUGUAGCGGUAAAAUGCGUAAAUAUAUGGAGGAACACCAGAGGCGUAGGCGGCUUGCUGGGUCUUAACUGACGCUGAGGCACGAAAGCGUGGGGAGCAAACAGGAUUAGAUACCCUGGUAGUCCACGCCGUAAACGAUGAGUACUAAGUGUCGGGUUUCGGCUCGGUACUGAAGUUAACACAUUAAGUACUCCGCCUGAGUAGUACGUACGCAAGUAUGAAACUUAAAGGAAUUGACGGGACCCCGCACAAGCGGUGGAUCGUGUUGUUUAAUUCGAAGAUACACGAAAAACCUUACCGGGUCUUGACAUAAUUUUGCGACAUUAUAGAAAUAUAAUGAAGGUUAUCAGAAUUACAGGUGGUGCAUGGUUGUCGUCAGCUCGUGUCGUGAGAUGUUAGGUUAAGUCCUAAAACGAGCGCAACCCUUGUCGUUAGUUGCGACCACGUAAUGGUGAGCACUUUAGCGAGACUGCCAAUGAAAAAUUGGAGGAAGGUGAGGAUUACGUCAAAUCAUCAUGCCCCUUAUGAUCUGGGCUACAAACGUGAUACAAUGGCUGUUACAAAGAGUAGCUACAACGUGAGUUUUUAGCCAAUCUCAAAAAAACAGUCUCAGUUCGGAUUGAAGUCUGCAACUCGACUUCAUGAAGUUGGAAUCGCUAGUAAUCGCGAAUCAGCAUGUCGCGGUGAAUACGUUCUCGG
rnacentral:rRNA from 1 species